rnacentral:ncRNA from 7 species
UCUCUGGGCCUGUGUCUUAGGCUC